rnacentral:rRNA from 1 species
AUUGAACGCUGGCGCCAUGCCUUACACAUGCAAGUCGAACGGCAGCACGGGUGCUUGCCCCUGGUGGCGAGUGGCGAACGGGUGAGUAAUACAUCGGAACAUGUCCUGUAGUGGGGGAUAGCCCGGCGAAAGCCGGAUUAAUACCGCAUACGAUCUACGGAUGAAAGCGGGGGACCUUCGGGCCUCGCGCUUUGGGGUUGGCCGAUGGCUGAUUAGCUCGUUGGUGGGGUAAAGGCCUACCAAGGCGACGAUCAGUAGCUGGUCUGAGAGGACGACCAGUCACACUGGGACUGAGACACGGCCCAGACUCCUACGGGAGGCAGCAGUGGGGAAUUUUGGACAAUGGGCGAAAGCCUGAUCCAGCAAUGCCGCGUGUGUGAAGAAGGCCUUCGGGUUGUAAAGCACUUUUGUCCGGAAAGAAAUCCUUGGCCCUAAUACGGUCGGGGGAUGACGGUACCGGAAGAAUAAGCACCGGCUAACUACGUG